GUUACCAGCACCUGCCCCAACAGUCUGGUAACGCUAUAUGUGGGAUCUUUGUCUUUCGAUCUGCCCUUGUAGACCACUUAUAAUUCACAGCCAAACAAUGUGAAGCCUCUUUGUGAACUUAAGCCAUUGUAAAGCUGUGUUUACACUUUGGUUAUGUUAGCCUGGCAUGUACAAUGUUGAAGGCUCCUUGUGUCUCCAUAUUUGCUCUUUGUUUACAGCACUGCACAAGUAACAUAAAUGGCCCGAUGACAAAUGCCGGGGAGAAGACGAAGGAGGAGAUUUCGCUCAGUGUUCGCUCGCUCGCUCGCGAAGAGAGAGAUCGACUCGGAGGUGGCGCGUGGAGCCGCAAAGUGGGACAGGUAGCGGUCAGGUGGACAGUCGACGCCAAGUCUCCCACUAAGCUCUGCUGUCAUCGACAUAUGAAGAUGGAACAGGUGGAAUCCACAUUUGCUGUACUGCCUUCUCACUCGCAAGCCAGGGCAUGGCUCCUGGACGCGCAUGGGGAUGGAGUUUCGCAGCAUCUGUGCGACCCACCAGCCCUCGUCUCCACGGUGCUUAAUUACAGGCAUAUGUAGCCACCAUCGCCCCGGUGUGUAUCACUUCACGUCAUGGGAUGGCCAUCGGAAUAUGAUGUCACAAAACUGGUUGUGGAUUCCCUAUCACCAACUCCCCAUAGUCACCCAUCAUCAAUCCACUCAUCUCUUUUCCAUCUUCAUUUAUUCCACGCAUCGUCACCACCACCUCAUUUUACAUAUAUCCCAUCCACUCGUCUCGUUUCACCUCGCCAACCAUCUUGCACCAUAGUCCACUGUACAGCGCCUUGGUUAAGGUGCUGUAUAAAUGUAUGAUAAGAAAAGAUUUGCAGGUGCCUUAUUCAACUAUAUGUGGCCGACUUCAUCGCCUGUAUAGAGUGUUGACCGCAUGAGACCAAAUAAAACAUUUGACGCCUCGCAGAUCGAACAUGAUGUCCUCAAGCAACAAACCAAGUGUUUUAUUUAUUUAUUUGUGACCAGGCUUAGAUAUUCAACUCACUAAGCUAAAAAAAAUGGUUUCACCUUAGUUGGCAGAGACCCAGAUUAGAACCAAGUUUGCAAAACCCAACUUGCCCCGGAUGAACGGCUGAAAAAAUAACCCUGCACCUAGCACACCACAUAUUGUACACAUCUAGCUAUGGCUUUGGAUACUACGAGUUGCUUGCCUACCCCAGUCUACCAGCCGGCCUCAACUAAAUUAAGCCCUGGGUAAUGGUAAUGUGUACGCUAAUACCCCGAUGUACGUCUCCCCCCUUUUACGUCGUUUCGCAAAUACGUCGUCACUUUAUUAACACCGCUGCCACCUGAUUAGCGUCGUCUCAACCCCACAGUCACGUCGCUGACAGCAUCGUCCGUCCUGUGUCAUUAUCCGUCGUCUCUCAUCCUUCG